rnacentral:rRNA from 1 species
AACAGGAUUAGAUACCCUGGUAGUCCAUGCCGUAAACGUUGGGCACUAGGUGUGGGGGACAUUCCACGUUUUCCGCGCCGUAGCUAACGCAUUAAGUGCCCCGCCUGGGGAGUACGGCCGCAAGGCUAAAACUCAAAGGAAUUGACGGGGGCCCGCACAAGCGGCGGAGCAUGCGGAUUAAUUCGAUGCAACGCGAAGAACCUUACCAAGGCUUGACAUGAACCGGAAAGGCCUGGAAACAGGUCCCCCACUUGUGGCCGGUUUACAGGUGGUGCAUGGUUGUCGUCAGCUCGUGUCGUGAGAUGUUGGGUUAAGUCCCGCAACGAGCGCAACCCUCGUUCUAUGUUGCCAGCGCGUUAUGGCGGGGACUCAUAGGAGACUGCCGGGGUCAACUCGGAGGAAGGUGGGGACGACGUCAAAUCAUCAUGCCCCUUAUGUCUUGGGCUUCACGCAUGCUACAAUGGCCGGUACAAAGGGUUGCGAUACUGUGAGGUGGAGCUAAUCCCAAAAAGCCGGUCUCAGUUCGGAUUGAGGUCUGCAACUCGACCUCAUGAAGUUGGAGUCGCUAGUAAUCGCAGAUCAGCAACGCUGCGGUGAAUACGUUCCCGGGCCUUGUACACACCGCCCGUCAAGUCACGAAAGUUGGUAACACCCGAAGCCGGUGGCCUAACCCCUUGUGGGAGGGAGCCGUCGAAGGUGGGACCGGCGAUUGGGACUAAGUCGUAACAAGGUAACC